AGUGAACGCUGGCGGCGUGCUUAACACAUGCAAGUCGAACGAGAACGGAAUAUAGCUUGCUAUAUUUGUCAGCUAAGUGGCGCACGGGUGAGGAAUGUAUAGAUAACCUGCCCUUAAGAAAGGAAUAACAGUUGGAAACGACUGCUAAUGCCCUAUAUGCCUUUAAUACAUAAGUAUGCAAGGGAAAGGCUUUAGUGCUUAAGGAUGGGUCUGUAUGGUAUCAGCUUGUUGGUGAGGUAAUGGCUCACCAAGGCUAUGACGCCUAACUGGUUUGAGAGGAUGAUCAGUCACACUGGAACUGAGACACGGUCCAGACUCCUACGGGAGGCAGCAGUGGGGAAUAUUGCACAAUGGACGAGAGUCUGAUGCAGCAACGCCGCGUGGAGGAUGACACAUUUCGGUGCGUAAACUCCUUUUAUAUAGGAAGAUAAUGACGGUACUAUAUGAAUAAGCACCGGCUAACUCCGUGCCAGCCGCCGCCGUAA
rnacentral:rRNA from 1 species